rnacentral:rRNA from 1 species
CAGCAGCCGCCGCGGGAAUACGGAGGAUCCGAGCGUUAUCCGGAAUUAUUGGGUUUAAAGGGUGCGUAGGCGGAUAGAUAAGUCAGUGGUGAAAGACGGUGGCUCAACCAUCGCAGUGCCGUUGAUACUGUUUAUCUUGAAUAUGGAUGAGGUAGGCGGAAUGUGGCAAGUAGCGGUGAAAUGCAUAGAUAUGCCACAGAACACCGAUUGCGAAGGCAGCUUACCAAGGCAAAAUUGACGCUGAGGCACGAAAGCGUGGGGAUCGAACAGGAUUAGAUACCCGCGUAGUCCCUGUCUCUUAUAC